ACGGUAUAUUGGUCAAGAAAUACACAUUACAUGUUUUACUUACGUAAUUAUCUUGCAUUGCGAUGAUUUAUCUACCAAAAACCAACUCGACACAGAUAGUGUUUGCCACCCUAGACUAAGGUAUUGUAUUGCUAUAAAUAAAUUAUAGCGCAAGCUAGGAAGCAACCGACCUUGUGGCUUUGUUUACAGUCACCUGGCAGGGGGUGCACCCACAGAAUUAGUUAGUAGAAUAUGAGCUCUAUGGGUGCACCUCUGACGUCAAACACGUUUGAGGUAGGUAUGACAACUAGCUAAAUUUGUUCCAAGCAGCUGGUUGCAAGCAUUUGGAAGACAGCACCGCGAACAGCCAUGCAAUUUCAAUCAGCUUUUGACUGCAUAGGACCUGAGCCCUAGGACUAUGCCUCAGGACUACCUGGCAUGAUGACUCCUUGCUGUCCCUAGUCCACCUGGCCGUGCUGCUGCUCCAGUUUCAACUGUUCUGCCUGCGGCUAUGGAACCUUGACCUGUUCACCGGACCUGCUACAUGUCCCAGACCUGCUGUUUUCAACUCUCUAGAGACAGCAGGAGCGGUAGAUACUCUUAAUGAUCGGCUAUGAAAAGCCAACUGACAUUUACUCCUGAGGUGCUGACUUGUUGCACCCUCGACAACUACUGUGAUUAUUAUUAUUUGACCAUGCUGGUCAUUUAUGAACAUUUGAACAUCUUGGCCAUGUUCUGUUAUAAUCUCCACCCGGCACAGCCAGAAGAGGACUGGCCACCCCUCAUAGCCUGGUUCCUCUCUAGGUUUCUUCCUAGGUUUUGGCCUUUCUAGGGAGAUUUUCCUAGCCACCGUGCUUCUACACCUGCAUUGCUUGCUGUUUGGGGUUUUAGGCUGGGUUUCUGUACAGCACUUUGAGACAUCAGCUGAUGUACGAAAGGCUUUAUAAAUACAUUUGAUUUGAUUUAUUUUAUCCCUCUUUGAAUCCUUCUCUCCCUACUCUCUACCUCUCUCUCUCCGCCCACCCUGUCUUUUUUUAUUUGGGUUGAAACGGCUGGACACUGAGAGCCUAGACUCUGUUAAUGAUAUCUGAUGUACCCUUGAUCCGGAGGGAGAUUAAUUAAAGGAGCUGUGCUGACGAGCCCUCCUCCCCUGCCAAGGCAGAUGCAGUGGUGGCCAUUACAUCAGCGUGCCUCCUUUGUGAUUGAGCUUCUAGGAGCUGUGCUGAGCUCAGCAUAUUUCGCUAGGGCUUCAUUUAACUCUGCCAAAUGGCCCCCUUUUAAUUUUUCAAAUGGAAGAGUGGCCUGAGUCACUCUGUGACGGGUCCAAGCCACGCCACCAGUCCUCACACGCAGGGAAGGAAGAGGAGGAGGGCGGAGGUGUAGCGUUAUGGAUUGGGAAGACGAAAGCAAGGUUGCUCACCCAGACCAAGUCUCGGAGAAGAAAUACGUCAAGGCAUUGUCAACUGUGCUUAGCUAUCUCAAUCAAUGACACAACAGUGUGUGUUAUCACAAAUCCAGAAAGAUUGUCCCUAAAAAUGUGCUUGAAUAUGUUUUUGAAGCCCUUGUGGGGUUCCGGCCCUUUGACCCUCAUCAAUAAGAUCAUUGUCAUCACAGACAAAGUCAAGCAUUUUCAUGAUUUGGAGUUGUAGUUGGACCUCAGAGGUGCAUCAUAGUCCUCCCAGCGACUCACUGGAGCGAGAGAUGAUGACAUCAGCGUCAGCAGUGAACCUGUACGUGCCUCCAGAUAUGGAUUGAGUACCCAGAGUGACUAAAUGUGUUUACAUAUGCCCCCAUCUCACACCACUGUUGCUUAAAAUAGGCCAGCGAUGUGUUUAGCCUGAGAAUCAGCUGGACUAAUGGGCCGGUCUGCCAAGUAUGCAUUAAGCUGGCAGGUACCACGGAGCGGGUCAAGGGUCAUCAACAGCACACGGAAUGAACAGAAAGCCCCCCUCAAUAGGUUUUAUGAGCAUGUAUACAUAUUCAUUGACUAUUACAUUUUCCACAAAAUGCCUGGACACGCAGCAGCAGGUGGUGGAGGAGUUGAGACUCAUACAGAAUCUUGCCAUCCAUUUCCUUGCGUUUUCUCAAAGAGUUUACACAGCAUUUUGGCAGUUAAUGGCUGAAAAGGCUUAUUCUGUCUCAAACCAGGAAGAGCACAUUGUGGAGCACUUACUAAUAUCAGAGCCAGGUAGAUUGCCUCUUCACUCAGCCUUUGGAUCUAACAAUAGCUAGCCAAUAAGUGGCGAACCUCAUGCUGUGUCGCACAUUUAUACAGCUCAAUCCCCUUGACUAGGGAAAUGCAUGGAGGUCAUGCAGCAAUGAUGGAAGUUGACUGUUUGAAUGAAGACACCAGGGUUCAAAUGUCCAGCCUCCUAGAUAUAUAGUCCCUCUCCUCUCUCAGCGCUCCUCAUUCGUUCUCAUGUCUCUUUUUCCAUGAGACAAAUGCUUCCUUGUUAGAAAAAAUUGCCUCCUUAUCUGAUGUAUUCUGGGUUCCCCUAAAACAUCACAGAUGUAGAUAAUUUCUAAACAUUUUCAAUUUCACAAUUUCACAAGCCCCAUUAUACAUUUCGUGCUGGGAAUCAUGGAAUCAAGAAAAUGUCCAUGCACUAUGUGGAUUUCGGUACAGAUUGUCUUAGUACGGGGGUCAGGAACCUGAUGGUCCUGAUGGUCCAGAGCCACAUCUGUCCCUUUGUGUCUCAGUGGUGAUCUAUAAUUAGCCAUUUGAUCUAAUCAAUACAUUGUACAAUGCCUGAUUUAGAUUCAUGUAUGUAGAUAAACAGCCAUGUUGGCUCUCCCCUGAAUCACCUGGCCUUUGAGGUUCUGACUGACAGCUGUGAUGGCUCUUAUGUGUGUGGUGUCGGGUUUUGUGGGACAUCAUGUGUUUUUUGAUGUGCUAUCAUUCCAUGCUGCUCUGAUUCUGCUCUGACAGGUGUGACUAGCAGGCUCUAGCCUCUGGGCCUUCAGUGUCCAUCCAGCCAUUAGAGAGAGGAGGAGAGGGUAGUCCCCGCCUCCUCCCCAUUUUGCCUGUCAGCCAUGUUGUGAGCGUGCGGUCUAAUCAGAAGUCAACAGGUGGUUUCGUAAGGGGUCCAUUGAGGGAGAUUCCACGACAGGACUCCAUUACAUCAAGGGCAGGAUGAUCUAGGGAGGUAUUUUGAUGUGUCAGAGUGAAUUACUCCAAACAAGUGUUUCAAACCCUCAGGUGCAUUUCAUGUGUGACAGCGAGGAUGUUUAUCACAACUGUAAUUUCCUGGCAAGGUUACUCAUAUCACUAGUGAGAGGGGAAGGGGGAGUGUUAUCCUUAGAUAAAAAGAAAUGAUUUUGUCAUUGAACUGUCAUCAUUCUCAAAUCAAAUCGUCUUAUAGAUGUCCCUGCCUAUUGUAGCACCUACUUCUUGGUGCUUUCUUCACAUAAAGGUUCUUGGCUUUUCAAACAAAAUAAUCAGACAACAAGCACUGACAGACAAAACACAACUCCCUCAAGUUAAUGUAGACACCAUCUAUUUCUUCAUCCUCCUCCGUGGUCAGUGUAGAUGGAGAAAUCGGUCGAUACUAAGUCUGGGAAGCAAGAAGACGUCAAAUCAUUACUGAACUCAAAUGAUUUCCCUGGCUCCCCGGCAAAUGCUCAAACAUGAAUUGCAUUUGCUCAUCCGAUACUGUAAUUUUGGAAUAGCUCAUGUGAGAGGUCACUUUUGGAGACUGGAGAGAUUCUUGGCUCCACUUCAUGUGCUUUAUGAGCAGCCUCUUCAAUUUUCUCACAAAUUUUUCUCUGGAAUUUGACAACAAAUCUAUGAGCUGGGUUUUCAGCCUAUAUGGGUUGGGUAUGACAUGAGAAUCCUCAGGAAUGUGUUCUUAGUCAAUCUGCUAUGAAGCACAGUAUCUUAUAUUUUCCUCAGACUCACUAUAGUGUAACUCAUCAACAAUAGUACUGUGUAAUAAAUAGGGUUGCAAAUCCCAGUUGGAAAACUUUUGAAAUCCGCUUGAAAUAAGCCGAAAAUCCGGCGAAUCACUGUUAGUCUGCACCUGUUGUCUACGAAGCAUGUGUCAAAUACAAACAUUUUAUUUGAUGCUCAAUAUGUAGUCUGUCCACGAGAGAUUAGCGCACCUCUAAUAUCAUCAUCUAUCCCGAUGAGCAUGGUAUCUCUCUCUUUAGCCAGUACACAGCAUUGAAUUGAAUUGACACCCAAUAACUGAUUCCAAUCACUACCAAUGUCUGUUUGACAGGUUUCACAUUAAUGUUCUAUGUACACAUUUAUAGACCACCGAUUAUUAAAAAACAUGAGCGAUUUAGACAACACAUUCAAGGAACAUUCAAGGUAUAUGAGGAUUUAGGGAUUGUUUCAUAUCCUUCAUUGAGCAUAUAAUGUCAUCCAGGACAGACUGAAGGAUUCAUUCUGACACAGUGCAGAGGACUGAGCAGGAGAGCAAACCAGGACAGGGAUCGUUGUCGGAUCAAUAUUGUGGGAACAGACCUGGGAAAAUACAAUCCAUGACAUUAAAAGCUUAACCAUGA